UUCUCCAUGCUGACGUCAGCUGGCAUUGCUUUGCUCAUCGUAAUUUUAAUAAAUAAUUUUCAGACUGGAAGCCACAGAUGGGUGCUGAACAUAAAGCAAAUAAUUCAAAAGUGACUCAUACUCUGAAUUGUCUGGAAAUCUUUGGGCUCCUGUGAAUGAAGAACUGACGCAACAUAUCAGUCACAUGAAAGUCUUUCACCUACGAGGGCACAGACAACGAUGUCUCUAGUGAACACAGACCCAGUUAGUCCUAAAGCAGCACAAACCUGCGCUCGGGUGGUAAACCGUUUACAUGGAUGACAACAGCAACUGAAACGUGACAAUCCCUCUUAGCAAGGUUGCCAUGAGCUCCUGAGCUGUAGUUUUAAUAUCAUGCCACAAGGUGUCAUUGUGUGCUGCAUUGACAAAAAAGAAGACCUGCUCUCUAUGAAAAUCCGUUUACAAAGGCAAUGCAAAUCCUUUUCUAAUUGAUAAUAUCAGCAGCAGCUUCAUAUUUGUCGGUGUACCUUUCUCUUCUUUCUAGAACCUCACAUAUAGAAAUCAUGACACAUAUCAGCCAAUAGGCACAAUAAACAUCUGUACUGUUUGAAAUGGAGAGUCGCAGUUCUAGUCAAAAGAAUCUCAAAACAGCUCUGGCAGUAUGAAAGUUUUUCAUAAUUCUUUUCACUGCUUCUGAUUUUGAUUAUUUAUUGUUCUAUUGAUACAAGCACCACAACAGUUAGUUAUGUUUCUUGUCCUGCAGGCUCAUAUUUACACCAUUAGUAGCUUCACUCAAUUGGGGAUGUCAAAAUCGCCAGCCUAAACCACCCAUGAUGGAUCUAAAGUGUCACCUGUCAUAUGGACAGUUUCAGAAAGCACAGCUCUGCUGACAGCCAAAACAUUUGAUUAGAUUCUCAGUUGGAUCCGUUUUCAACAUGAUCUCCUAGAAGUUUCCUUUGUUUGAGACAUUGACUGAGUGCUUCAUUUCUCUAGGCCAUUUUUCUGAUGUAUUCCUGGAGCUUGGAUAUUUCAUCCCGGAUGGUGUCUUUGAUACUCACUAGUCCUCUGCCACCUUCUGUGCAAAUAGUGCAUCACCUGUGGAUACUGGAUUGAAGGUGGACUCCAACAUGCACUGUUGCUGCCCCAUGACAUAAGGGCGCCCAGAUGGGGGACCAACCUAUCAGUCACUUUUAGCAACAAAUGCACUAUUUUUAAAGCCUUUUAGGAGGUUCAGUUGUUCAGCUUGCGUUCCAAACGCAGACAUAUGGAG